rnacentral:tRNA from 2 species
AAUGAAGUGCCUGAAAAAAGGAUUAUUAUGAUAAAAUAAAUUAUGUAAUUUUUUACCUUCAUUU